GCAUUAAAACUGAGAAAGUUUGGGAACCUCUGAAAGCCACUCUGAGUUUCCUGAGGACUUGCAUUUACAUCCUAACUGAGCUUGUUGGACACUGAAAUGGAGUAAGACACAAGCCAUUUUCAAACCUUCUUUGGAAACAGAUAAUUUAAAAAUGCGAGACAACUUUAUUAAUGACCGGACGAGGGGAGAGGACAAAGACGACUAAGAUGGCGCAUUUCCGGGUUCUUCAUCACCAACUUACUCGCGCAUGGGAAAAUACAGACCAACUGCACAGGCGCAACAUGGCGUCCGAUCGAGUAAACCGAAACUUACCUGGCCGCACCUACCGAACGCCCCCAACACGCCCGUGUCCCGCCUAUUGCCCUCCCACUCCCAAGCCUUAGACAGAAAAGCUGCUCCCGGCAGGUGCGCGGCGCGAACUUCCUCGGCCCCUCCUCAUAUGCGGACCUAGGAACCUCGCCCGAGAACGCCAGAGCGACUUCCUCAGCCUCCACCGCCGGAGACCGGUGAGCCUCGCCCUUUCUUCCUUCACAUUGGCUAGCUAAUAAAGUUUCUUUUUACCUUG